rnacentral:rRNA from 1 species
CCUACGGGUGGCUGCAGUGGGGAAUAUUGGACAAUGGGGGGAACCCUGAUCCAGCCAUGCCGCGUGUGUGAAGAAGGCCCUCGGGUUGUAAAGCACUUUCAGUGAGGAAGAACGCCUGGUGGUUAAUACCCAUCAGGAAAGACAUCACUCACAGAAGAAGCACCGGCUAACUCCGUGCCAGCAGCCGCGGUAAUACGGAGGGUGCGAGCGUUAAUCGGAAUUACUGGGCGUAAAGCGCGCGUAGGUGGCUUGAUAAGCCGGUUGUGAAAGCCCCGGGCUCAACCUGGGAACGGCAUCUGGAACUGUCAAGCUAGAGUGCAGGAGAGGAAGGUAGAAUUCCCGGUGUAGCGGUGAAAUGCGUAGAGAUCGGGAGGAAUACCAGUGGCGAAGGCGGCCUUCUGGACUGACACUGACACUGAGGUGCGAAAGCGUGGGUAGCAAACAGGAUUAGAUACCCUGGUAGUC